rnacentral:rRNA from 1 species
AGGACGAACGCUGGCGGCGUGCUUAACACAUGCAAGUCGAGCGGAAAGGCCCUUCGGGGUACUCGAGCGGCGAACGGGUGAGUAACACGUGAGUAAUCUGCCCCUAGCUCUGGGAUAGCUCCGGGAAACCGGGAUUAAUACCGGAUACGACCACCUUAGACAUCUUUUGUGGUGGAAAGAAUUUCGGCUAGGGAUGAGCUCGCGGCCUAUCAGCUUGUUGGUGGGGUAACGGCUACCAAGGCGACGACGGGUA